rnacentral:lncRNA from 1 species
UGUAAAGAUAAUUGAAUACAACUUGAAAUCAUGCAAUGUCAUAAAAGCAUUCCUAUUGCUACCUUCACAUUACCAAUAAACUGAAAUUAGUCAUAUAACUCUGUUCUCUGCAUGUCAGCGCACUUCAUUCAAGCAUGAAGACAAACUCACUGACAACCUAGAAAAAUCAACAUCCUUGACGUGUCUUUACACUGUUACAGGUAUAUGUUGCCUCAAACAUCCUCAUUCAAUCAACAAAGUAAUUGCUCUCCCUUCUAAGCUCCCACCCACUAAAUUACUCUGAGAAAUGCUUUUCAAACCACUCCCAGAGGACCAUCACAUUUUUCUUGGGAAGGAAUUAGGAAACUUACUACUCUGCUUACAAAGCCAGUGGUUUUGGUGCUGGGGUCUGGUUUACAACCCUGGCUGGGAGACUGGCCUCAGGGAAGAGGGUAUCCCAGCCCAGGGCUCAAGGACUAACUCAUUAGGAGCCCUCCUUCCAGAAGGCGCUGUUCAUUUACACCAACAGGUGUAUGUAUACCUGUUGUUUAUGUCCAUUUACAAAAUUCUCCUAAAGCAAUUUAAUAGUGAAAGAAAACCUGGCACAUCAAAAACCGGACUCCGUAUUUACAAGAUUCUAUAGAAAGUCACAGAAGCACAACUCCCCACAUCCGUGCACUAGGUACAGCUUAGUGACCAACACCUUCGGUACUGCUAAGGAUCCCUACAGAAGUUCUGCCUCUACUGUCAACUAGCAGAGCUAUGAGGCCUUGGCCCAGACCCAUCACCUCUCUGGGAUUCAAUGCCCUCAUCUCUAGAACUAUGUGGCCUCCAGAGUCUGUUUGCUCUCAGAAUCUUUGACGUCAUGAUUCCUUACCAUAACAAGUAUCAUUUAUAAAUGAAGGCUGCAUAGAGUUGCUGGAAAAAAAAUUAUAGAAUGUGCUCAAAGCACCCUGGAAUAAGAGAACAAAGGACAUACAUAUAUAAAGAGUGACAGCCUACAAUUCAAACAUUGAUGGGUAACAUAUGUGCUUAAAGCAGUACCCAACUCCUACCCCCAGCAAGAACGAAAACUAGAGAAGAAGAUACAAAUAUCUAUUGGCUGAUGAAGAGUCUACUCCACUCAGGAAAGAACAUGUGGAAACCAUGAGAAAUGAAAGUACCCCGCCAAACCCAGCCAAAUCCAACCUCACCUCUCCUAGACACUUCCCCCUACAGUUUCUGGAGUUUCCCAGCUUCCUUGAGCAGGGAGCUUGCUCUUGAGAGAAGUGACUUCAGCUGAGGCAUUUCCCGCAGUGUGGACUGAAAGCUGAGGGUUAUUUGCUGGCAGUACUCCCAGAACUUGACUGGACUCAAACAUCUGGCCUCAAGUGAUCCUCCUGCUUUGGCCUCCUAAAGUGUUGAGAUUACAGACAUGAAUCACCGCACUCAGCCUGAGACAUACUUCUUUAAUUCCUGUAACAUUAUUUUAUGCUUUGAUACCUGAUGGAUAAUGCAGGGCCAAGCUGCACCAUGUUCCUAAGAGAAAGCCAAGAACAUAAGUCACACAAGCCCUCAGGAAGAGAAGGAAAGAAUGAGUGACAGUAGACCGCAGAUGUGAGCAAAUUCAUGGAGGAUGGAAACUGAAUGAGGGAAUGGUGGCUGGCUUAACUUAACAGAGGAAAGUGCAUUCUAAAUACCUAUCAUAAAAGCAACAAAGAGAAUAAGCCUAUCCACUCCACACUUUGGAACUGCCUGUUUAAAAGUUGAUCCCCGGACCCCACCAAGUCUACAAGCUCCACCUCAAGGACAGAAUGGAAACUGUAUUCAUCGAGGGGCUUUUAAUUGACAAAUAAAAAUUGUAUAUAUUUAUCCAUGUAUAAUAUGAAGGUUUGAAAUAUGUAUACACUGGGGAAUGGCUAAAUCAAGCUAACUAACAUCUGCAUUACCUCACAUACUUAUUUUUUGUGGUGAGAACACUUAAAAUCUACUCUCUUAGUAAUUUUCAAGAGUACAAUAUAUUGUUAUUAACUAUAGUCACAAUGUUGUCUAGCAGACCCUUCUCAGAAUCUAACAAAAUGUUUGGCUAGUAAUAGGGGCUCAAAAAGUAUUUGUGAGUGAAAAGAGUGAAUAUAUUAAUUAAUUUGUUAAUGUAUUCACUGGCAGGUGUAUUUACCUAAUUCAGUCUUUAAAAUAAUGUUCUAUAUUCCAAGUUUUCCUUAGGGAGUUAACCCAAUAUUAUAGCUUGAUUGUUUACACAAGACCCAUAAAACAAACUAUAAUAGCAAUAGUCAACAAAGAGAUGAUAUUGGCAUAAUAUAAUGCUAUAUUGGUUUUAUUGUGCUGCCAUAACAAAUUACCAAAAAUUUAGUAUCUUAAAAC